UCCUCUGCGCCUUCCCCAUUCCCUCCUUCCUCUCCUCCUCUGCACCUUCCCCAUUCCCUCCCUCCACUUCCUCUGCACCUUCCCCAUUCCUUCCUUCCACUCCUCCUCUGCGCCUUCCCCAUUCCCUCCCUCUACUUCCUCUGCACCUUCCUCAUUUCUCUCCUUCCACUCCUCCCCUGUGCCUUCCCCAUUCCCUCCCUCCACUUCCUCUGCGCCUUCCCUUUUUCCCUCCUACCACUCCUCCUUCCUCAUUCCCUCCUUCCACUCCUCCCCUGCGCCUUCCCCAUUCCCUCUUUCCACUUCCUCUGCGCCUUCCACAUUCCCUCCUUCCACGCCUCCUCCCAGGCUAUUCCCCAUUCCCUCCUUCCACUUCCUCUGCGCCUUCCACAUUCCCUCCUUCCACGCCUCCUCCCAGGCUAUUCCCCAUUCCCUCCUUCCACUCCUCCUCCCAGGCUAUUCCCCAUUCCCUCCUUCCACUUCCUCUGUGCCUUCCCCAUUCCCUCCUUCCUCCGCUGUUGCUCCCAGUAUGCCCGGGCAACCCCAUGGAAUUGGCGUCAGUGGGGUGAAGUGCCCGGAGCCCCCCCGCUGUGGUGGAGGGGGGUGGGUUUGUGUUGCUGUCUGCACUGGGGGAAGCUAAGAAGCUUUGAGCCCAGCCCGGUGCUCCUGGAAUAAACGCUGCUGACCAGUCAGAGCCUCCGAGCCAUUUCUUGCGGGAGGUCCUGCGGGGCGGGGGACAGGGAGUGGUGG
rnacentral:lncRNA from 1 species